GACAGAGGGUGCAAACGUUGUUCGGAAUUACUGGGCGUAAAGCGCGUGUAGGCGGCCAUGCAAGUCGGGUGUGAAAUCCCACGGCUCAACCGUGGAAGUGCACUCGAAACUGCGUGGCUGGAGUUCUGGAGAGGAAGGCGGAAUACUUGGUGUAGAGGUGAAAUUCGUAGAUAUCAAGUGGAACACCGGUGGCGAAGGCGGCCUUCUGGACAGUAACUGACGCUGAGACGCGAAAGCGUGGGGAGCAAACAGG
rnacentral:rRNA from 1 species